GCCUGGGAUAUUUCAGUCGGUAGAGCAUGAGACUCUUAAUCUCAGGGUUGUGGGUUGAAGCUCCAUGUUGGACC